AACGAAGGGGGCUAGCGUUGCUCGGAAUCACUGGGCGUAAAGCGCACGUAGGCGGAUUGCUAAGUCAGGGGUGAAAUCCUGGAGCUCAACUCCAGAACUGCCUUUGAUACUGGCGACCUUGAGUCCGGGAGAGGUGAGUGGAACUGCGAGUGUAGAGGUGAAAUUCGUAGAUAUUCGCAAGAACACCAGUGGCGAAGGCGGCUCACUGGCCCGGUACUGACGCUGAGGUGCGAAAGCGUGGGGAGCAAACAGG
rnacentral:rRNA from 1 species